ensembl:lncRNA
CUCCCCUCUCUCUGCACAGCUCCCAAACCUUCCAUAUACACAUGCUCUGUCCCUUAGCUGGGUCUUGAGCUUUAAGGACCGAGCCAGGAAGGUAAAGCUACACUGUAAUCAAAUAUCACUUUGAGACAAGCAGUUCCACAUUAGACUCAUCACCGUUAGUAAUGGCAGAGAUGACGUAAUCCGACAUGGGAUGGCCCUCCAGUCUAUCAUUCUUAAGGUAGUCUUGAAAAACUAAACAGAAGAGAGGAUUCUGCAAGAAAACCAUCACAUAUCAGGUCCUGCUUCUGCGGUUUGCAUGCCAGAGACACUAACCAAACAAAUGACUCCCAGUCGUAAAGCAUUUCCGCCUGACUAUCGCUGCAUUCUGUCAGAAUUUAAAUAAAGUAAAAGAACAUAUGGCAUCAUAAAACUAUUGCACAGCAAUCCUGAGCUUUUCAUAUAUAGUUUUUUUCCAUCCUAAUUCAGGAACUCUCAUCCAGUAAGUAUUAAUAUAACCUUUCUAAAUUUCUUUAUACUCAGUUGUCCUGUUUUAUAUCAAUAGAUUAAUAUCUCUCUCUCUUUUUUUUUCUCAUGUUGGUGCUGAGCACAUCCAGAAUGUUCCCUUUCACUGCUUCUGUUAUGGACCUCACAGCCGGCCCCCGGAUACGGAAGUGGUUCGACCCGUCACAUCUUCAGAUUAAUAGCAGGGUUCCCUGUCCACUGCAGCUCAACGAGAGAGGGGCAAACCAAACUAUGGUGGACAGCUUUGUCAGGUGACAGAGAAGAUCUUUGGGAUUCCAGAGCAGUUCAACAUCUUAGAAGAUCUGAUUAGAAUGACCUUCUCAAGGUUGCAGACUCUGACCAAAUAAAUAAUAAAUAAUAAUAAUAAAAUAAAAUAAA